UACGUAGGGGGCAAGCGUUGUCCGGAUUAUUGGGCGUAAAGAGCGUGUAGGCGGCCAGGUAGGUCUGCUGUGAAAACUCGAGGCUUAACCUCGAGCUGUCGGCGGAAACCAUCUGGCUAGAGUCCGGAAGAGGAGAAUGGAAUUCCCGGUGUAGCGGUGAAAUGCGCAGAUAUCGGGAAGAACACCCGUGGCGAAGGCGGUUCUCUGGGACGGUACUGACGC
rnacentral:rRNA from 1 species